AUCCUCCUCUCGCUCGCUCCCGCAGAACCAGGCGCGCGAUCAGUGAGCUUGGCCCUCUCUCGCCGGGCGUCCAGCUUUUGUCCUCUCUCUCGCACACACUCGCGACUGUCCUCGGUGUGCGUGUCGGUGUCAGUUACCGUCCGUUUGUGCGACGCACCUGUGCCGCGGAAAGUGCGUUCGAGUUUUUCGGCUUUUCGGCUCGUUACUUACGUUGUGUUUCACGUCGGUCCGAUUGCGAGUCGGGAUCUGCAGUCUUGGACUGUCGUUUUCGUAGGUGUAGUUUUGAGUGCUUGUAACUUUCUUUCUCUAAUAAAAGCUGUGCUAACCGUACCUACGAUAUAGAAGCAGUGUCACAUCGAAAAUUUUAUCAUUUUUUAAGUUCAAGAUUUUGCGUAAAACCGUUGUAGUGAGUUACGUCUCGCGGGAAUUGAGAGUUGUGAAAGAGCAAUUCAUUUCCGUCCAGUGUUAACCCGUAUUGUGACUUUGAAUCGAACUAGCAAGAUUUGUGCGCGCUUGUUGAACUCGAACUAACACCUCAUCGUGAAAUAUCAAGUACUAAUUUCAUAGCGCAAGCGGUCAUCGCUCGUUGUGUGGGGGGUUGAACUGGGGAAGUGCGCGGUAUCUGAGGAGCCUGCCGGUGAGGUAUGAGGGGUGCGCGAAGUGAUGGGGAAGCGCAGAUACCAUGGUCAGCGUGAGGCCCUGGUGCUACGCCUGUCAAGUCCUCUACUUCCAGAACAACAACAACGUCAUCCAGGAACAGCCCAAGUUCCCGUACAAACCGUGGAAAACCCGCAAGCCCCGCUCCUACAACAAGAAUUAUAGUAAGGAUGCUAAACCAAACCUGGUGGUCCUCCGCCGCAUACAACACUUCAGAGGCACGUUAAAGUUAGAAAACCUGUCUUCAUACCAAGGUUUCAUUUUCCUCAUGGAAGACCAAAAGACCAAAAUAAUCUAGAAAAAAUUUUGGAUGCUGUACGAGUUGCGUUCCAGUCACUUCCUAAACCGCAAGCGUCAAAGAAGAGUUCGGAAUUAUUACAAAGGUAAAAAAAAUAAAGUUUUUAAAAACGUACUUUUUAGUCUGUCUGACUGAAUUUAAUUUUCCUCUCGUUUGUUUUCUCUUUCCUAGUUAUGUGAUAGGUAUUUCCGUUUGCAAUGAUCUGAGA
rnacentral:lncRNA from 1 species